rnacentral:rRNA from 1 species
GAUGAACGCUGGCUACAGGCUUAACACAUGCCAGUCGAGGGGAAACGACGGGGAAGCUUGCUUCUCCGGGCGUCGACCGGCGCACGGGUGAGUAACGCGUAUCCAACCUGCCUCUGACUGAGGGAUAACCCGUCGAAAGUCGGCCUAAUACCCCAUGGCAUCGUCUGCGGGCAUCCAACGACGAUUAAAGAUUUCAUCGGUCAGAGAUGGGGAUGCGUCUGAUUAGCUUGUUGGCGGGGUAACGGCCCACCAAGGCGACGAUCAGUAGGGGUUCUGAGAGGAAGGUCCCCCAGAUUGGAACUGAGACACAGACCAAACUCCUACGGGAGGCAGCAGUGAGGAAGAUUGGUCAAGGGGCGAGAGCCUGAACCAGCCAAGUAGCGUGCAGGAUGACGGCCCUAGGGGUUGUAAACUGCUUUUAUGCGGGGAUAAAGUGAGGGACGUGUCCUUCAUUGCAGGUACCGAAUGAAUAAGGACCGGCUAAUUCCGUG